rnacentral:lncRNA from 1 species
CUUAGCCUUUGAAGAUACACAAAAGCUACAAAGGGCUGUGUUUGCGCACUCCCGGUGCCUGCCCCUGGCUGGCCUCUGUGCUUCAGGCACCACCAACCAGAGGGAUGAAGGGGGUCUGAGCGAUGGAUGCGGCUCUGGGCUAUCUUGUCAUGAGCUGCCGUGGAGUGCUGCGAGACAGGCAAGCCAAGCAGGCAGCACCCUCGUUUCUAGAGGAGCGAAGGCUGGAUCUCCUUGGGCCUUGAGCCCUGAGAAGCUCCUGUUUAAGCCUCUUCAAAACUCAGUUUCUGCCUAGCUGCUCAGAACUUCAGGCCUUGGAGUCCAGGAAACGCUUCCUAGCCUGGGAGCCCCUUGCAGGCUGGGCCUGGGCACAGACUGGCCAGUGGGGCUCCAUGCUUAGCCUGUGCCCUCCUUUCCUGCUCAGCCAACAUUCAUGGCCAUGGCGGUGACUUAGCCAAAACUCGCUGUUCCUUAAAAGUUAUGGAAAUGACGGCAGUUUUACUACGUGUCAUCCUAAGGUGAGGGGAUGGCCAACUCGUCACCCUUUCAGCCCUCAAAUCACUGCUUCACCAGCCCUCAGAUGGCUUUGGAAUACUGUCUGGACCGUACUCUCCUCUCGGGUCUCCCCUCUCAGCAAUGUCGCCUGCCUACUUGGAGACGUCAGCGUGGACCUCCAGACCCAGCCCAAGAAGAAGGUUAUAUUUAUCACGUAUUUUCCUCUCUCAUUCAGGCAGCUGUGUCCAGGUCAGAAGACAUCUCCAAGCAUCUCACUGAAUGAAAUGGGACCAGUCCACACCUCCCUUGCCUAGUGGCCCAGAAGAGACAGCUCCAACAUCCUGCAACAGGAAAGUCUGUCUGCAUGGCUGUGCCCCAAACUGAGAAGCAGCAGGUCUGACAGAUUUCCUGCAGAGGGGAAUCUGUAGGACGAUUGCACAUCUCCAUUUCCUUGUACAGUCCAGGGCUUGGGUUACCAGCAGCCUGAAGAUCUCCAUGCAAUAAAAUUACCACAAAACCACAAAGUUGUCAUAGUGCUCACAGCGGCAGAGAGAUGAGUGGAGAGCAGGCUUAGAAGCCACGUUAUGAAGUCUGUUUUUUACUUUGAAGUCCUUUAGCCUCGAAAGUGAUAAUACUUUGGUGGUAUGUUUUAAGUUAUACCUGAGGAGGAUGAGCUGUCCUAAUCAGGAGUAUUCCCUCCAGGAGUGGACAGCUGAUUGAAGAAACCGACAGUAUUUAUUUAGAGGGCUACUACAUGUGCUUCAGCUGUCUUUGACCUCCCAUCAACAGCUGGAGGUUUUGUUAUUAGCAUAAAGAACACUAGAAAAGAGGGGCUGGCCUGGUGACUUAGUGGUUAAAUUCGCACGCUCCGCUUUGGCGGCACGGGGUUCACAGUUUCAGAUCCCAGCCGGGGACCUAGCACCACUCGUCAAGCCACACUGUGGUGGCAUCCCACACAAAACAGAG